rnacentral:rRNA from 1 species
UUCUUGACACAAAAUAAGAAGUAAUUCCUGCCCAGUGAUUCACAUUCAACGGCCGCGGUAUCCUAACCGUGCAAAGGUAGCAUAAUCACUUGCCCAUUAAUUGUGGGCUAGAAUGAAAGGACCAACGAAAUAAAAACUGUCUCUAUAAGCCACAUAAAAAUUAAUCUCUAACUGAAGAGUGUUAGAUUGCGUCGAAGGACAAGAAGACCCUAUAGAGCUUCAUUUUAAUGAAGACUAAAACUUCCCUAAAAUUCGGUUGGGGCGACCGGGGAAAAUUUAUCAUCCCUAAUUAAUAGAUCAAUUAAUCAAAUUUUUUUGACCCUUAACAAAGAUCACCAAAAUAAGCUACCUUAGGGAUAACAGGCUAAUCCCGUUAAAGAGUCCUUAUCAAUAACGGGGGUUGGCACCUCGAUGUUGGCUUAGGGAAUCUAUGUGGCGCAAAAGUCACAUAAAGAUGGUUUGUUCAACCAAUAAUACCCUACAUGAGCUGAGUUCAGACCGGCGUAAGCCAGGUUAGCUUCUAUCCUCGAUAAUAAACCUGUUUAUAGUACGAAAGGACCUAAAUAAGGAUAAUAAUUAUACCUUACUGAAAUAAUAUAAAUUAGACUAAACCUCACUUUACAUAAACUAUG